ACGCUGGCGGCAGGCUUAACACAUGCAAGUCGAACGGUAACAGGGAUUAGCUUGCUAAUUUGCUGACGAGUGGCGGACGGGUGAGUAAUGCUUGGGAAUCUGGCUUAUGGAGGGGGAUAACUACGGGAAACUGUAGCUAAUACCGCGUAAAAUCUUCGGAUUAAAGGGUGGGACUUUCGAGCCACCUGCCAUAAGAUGAGCCCAAGUGGGAUUAGGUAGUUGGUUAGGUAAAGGCUGACCAAGCCGACGAUCUCUAGCUGGUCUGAGAGGAUGACCAGCCACACUGGAACUGAGACACGGUCCAGACUCCUACGGGAGGCAGCAGUGGGGAAUAUUGCACAAUGGGGGGAACCCUGAUGCAGCCAUGCCGCGUGAAUGAAGAAGGCCUUCGGGUUGUAAAGUUCUUUCGGUGACGAGGAAGGUUGAUAGGUUAAUAGCCUAUCAAAUUGACGUUAAUCACAGAAGAAGCACCGGCUAACUCCGUGCCAGCAGCCGCGGUAAUACGGGGGGUGCGAGCGUUAAUCGGAAUAACUAGGCGUAAAGGGCACGCAGGCGGUGACUUAAGUGAGAUGUGAAAGCCCCGGGCUUAACCUGGGAAUUGCAUUUCAUACUGGGUCGCUAGAGUACUUUAGGGAGGGGUAGAAUUCCACGUGUAGCGGUGAAAUGCGUAGAGAUGUGGAGGAAUACCGAAGGCGAAGGCAGCCCCUUGGGAAUGUACUGACGCUCAUGUGCGAAAGCGUGGGGAGCAAACAGGAUUAGAUACCCUGGUAGUCCACGCUGUAAACGAUGUCGAUUUGGGGAUUGGGCUUUGAGCUUGGUGCCCGUAGCUAACGUGAUAAAUCGACCGCCUGGGGAGUACGGCCGCAAGGUUAAAACUCAAAUGAAUUGACGGGGGCCCGCACAAGCGGUG
rnacentral:rRNA from 1 species